AUUGAACGCUGGCGGCCUGCCUAACACAUGCAAGUCGAACGGAGAGGCGGACGGGCGAGCAAGGUCUGGGCAACUGCCUGAUGUAGGGGGCUAACUAAUGGAAACGGUAGCUACUACCGCAUACCAUCGGUUGGGUCCAGGUGGGAGUAGCGAGUAGGUGGGGUAAAGGCUCACAUAGGCGAGGAUCCCUAGCGGGUCUGAGAGGAUGACCAGCCACACUGGAACUUAGACACGGGCCAGACUCCUACGGGAGGCAGCAGUGGGGAAUAUUGGACAAUGGACGAAAGCCUGACCCAGCCAUGCCGCGUGUGUGAAGAAGGUCUUCGGAUUGUAAAGCACUUUAAGUUGGGAGGCGUUACCAACAGAAUAAGCACCGGCUAACUUCGUGCCAGCAGCCGCGGUAAUUC
rnacentral:rRNA from 1 species